UUAAGUAUUCCAAACAGUACCGUAUUUCAAACAGUACCGUGACCUUUGGAAACACUCUUGGAGUACAUAUGUGUACUGCGCAUUUAUCUUUGCCGCGAAGCUGAAGCAUGGCUAAGUUCACAAUUUAUGUUAUGGCCGUGCUGUUUUUGUUGUCGGUGGUGCACUCGUACUUCCUACCGCACACCAAGGAAAAAGCAGAGUGCAUAGCCCAUGGCGAACAAUGCCUUCACACUAGCCAGCGGCCGCCGGAUGUGUGCUGCUCCGAUUUUUGCCUACAACAAUACGGUGAACCAUUCGGCCGAUGCGAAAAUAAGCCUAACCCGUCCCGACCUGACGGAUGUCUUGAUGACGGCCAGGAAUGCAUCGAGGGGCACCACAUUUAUGUCUGUUGUUCACGCAAAUGUGAACGUUACCCGGGGCAGACAUUUGGCAAAUGCGUGUACGAAUUUUCAUGGGGGUAGAUUUUGUGAGACCAAUUCACCGCUGAUAUUUCUUUACAACAGCCUGUGUACCUAGUUGCAUGCUCCUUUAAGCCGCAAUCAA